GUUCCCGAUGAUGCUUUUUUUUUACCAUGCUAAUGCUGAUAACACAUGAUUGUUACAUUCAUUAUACUGAGGGAACU